AGAACGACUAGAGCGAUUAGAGGUAUGUUUCUGCUAUGUUGAAGCUAAGUGUUUCUAGUGCAGUGCUGCAGAUAUAAAUAUAGCUUACUAACUUGUAUGGCUCGCUAGUUUCUGGUAUAAACUACUUUUCUUUUCCUUUUUUUAUUGAUCAUAACUGUGAAUCUAUCUUUUGAUCUACUGUUGCCUGCAGAUUUAAACUUUUCUCACUAACUUGUAUGGCAA
rnacentral:misc_RNA from 1 species